GGCCAACUAUCUGCUCUCCCGGGAGCACAGCCAGGCCUGUCGCCAACAAGGCUUCUGCAUGAUGUGCAUCAUGGAAGCGCAUGUUAACAAGGUCCUGCGUUCAGUCAGUGCCAUCCUGCCUUUGGCUGUUCUCAGGGGUUUCAGAUUCAUAGGAGAACAUUUUCAGCUUGGCAGGGAGGAAGAUGCCCAUGACUUCUUAUGCUGUACUGUCAAUGCCAUGCAGAGAGCUUGUCUGAGUGCA